rnacentral:rRNA from 1 species
GGCGGCAGGCCUAACACAUGCAAGUCGAGCGGUAACAGAAAGAAAGCUUGCUUUCUUUGCUGACGAGCGGCGGACGGGUGAGUAAUGCCUGGGAAUAUGCCUUAGUGUGGGGGAUAACUAUUGGAAACGAUAGCUAAUACCGCAUAACGUCUUCGGACCAAAGAGGGGGACCUUCGGGCCUCUCGCGCUAAGAUUAGCCCAGGUGGGAUUAGCUAGUUGGUGAGGUAAAGGCUCACCAAGGCAACGAUCCCUAGCUGGUCUGAGAGGAUGACCAGCCACACUGGAACUGAGACACGGUCCAGACUCCUACGGGAGGCAGCAGUGGGGAAUAUUGCACAAUGGGCGCAAGCCUGAUGCAGCCAUGCCGCGUGUGUGAAGAAGGCCUUAGGGUUGUAAAGCACUUUCAGCAGUGAGGAAAGGGGUGUCGUUAAUAGCUGCAGUGCUUGACGUUAGCGACAGAAGAAGCACCGGCUAACUCCGUG